UGAAUGUAUAACCUGCUGGAAGAAAGAAAAAAAGGGGAGAAAAAGGAAAGAAAGGGAAAGGAAUCUGAGAGAGAGAAACAAAGAGAGAGUCUAGAGAGAACCCACUUCAUUUUGUUGCUUGUUGCUGGAAAAGAAGGAAUUUCAGCCCAAGAAGAAAAAAAAAGAAACUAAGGAAAGAAAAGCUAGGAAAGAAGAGAAGUUGAAAGAGGAGGUUCAGAUUUGAAGGAGAAUAAGAAUUAGAAAACUUAAGGUGAACAGGCACGUGACCAGGCUUAGAGGCAUCUGCUUGGAAUCAAUUUUUGUCAGCCAACCUAUGUGCCUCUCGUGGAGGUUCCGGAUAUUUCAAGUGACUAUGGCUAUGUGAUACAAAGUUUAGGUUUUGUUUUCUUGAUUGGUUAGACAAGUCUUGUGUAUUUUGUAAAUAGGGCUAAGUCCCUUUUUGUCUAAUCCGUGUAUAUAUAAUGACGUAAGGAUGAUGUGUAUAUAUGUAUAUAAAGUUUUAAAUUUUUUCUAUCUCA